rnacentral:lncRNA from 1 species
AGGCUCUCUUUCACAGAAACAUUUUAAAUUCUGUGUUGGAAACUAAACAUUGGACAAAGAAUGGUAAUGGUUUUCAGUGCGAUGCAUCCAGAUUUGUAUGACACGCUGAUGUCCAUCUUCCUCUGGGAGAGCUCACAAGCACUUGUCUCACCGGAAGACCUACAUAGCUGGCAUCCACUGUGCCGACAGCCACAAGAAGGACCUCUUAGUUACAGUAUGGCCCCAUGGAGCUCUGGCAUCAACGCCUGCCUAGUUGUUUUUGCUAUUUGGGCUCUCGUUUUGUUUCGGUUGUUUUGUCUAUUUUCUCCUGACCACUGGUUGAGCAGAUGUAUGCACUUUUACAGGGCUCUGCGGUUGUUGUAUUUUCUCUUAAAUUUAAUAUAAACUGACUCUGACUUC